rnacentral:rRNA from 1 species
CGCGUGAGUGAUGACGGUCUUCGGAUUGUAAAACUCUGUCUUCAGGGACGAUAAUGACGGUACCUGACGAGGAAGCCACGGCUAACUACGUGCCAGCAGCCGCGGUAAUACGUAGGUGGCAAGCGUUGUCCGGAUUUACUGGGCGUAAAGGGAGCGUAGGUGGAUAUUUAAGUGGGAUGUGAAAUACUCGGGCUUAACCUGAGUGCUGCAUUCCAAACUGGAUAUCUGCAGUGCAGGAGAGGAAAGUAGAAUUCCUAGUGUAGCGGUGAAAUGCGUAGAGAUUAGGAAGAAUACCAAUGGCGAACGCGACUUUCUGGACUGUAACUGACACUGAGGCUCUAAAGCGUGGGGAGCAAACAGGAUUAGAUACCCUGGUAGUCCACGCCGUAAACUAUGAAUACUAGGUGUGGGGGUUGUCAUGACCUCCGUGCCGCCGCUAACGCAUUAACUAUUCCGCCUGGGGAGUACGGUC